GCCUGGGUGGCUCAGUCGGUUGAGCAUCCGACUUCGGCUCAGGUCAUGAUCUCACAGUUUGUGGGUUCAAGCCCCGCGUCGGGCU
rnacentral:tRNA from 1 species